AUACUUACCUGGCAGGGGAAAUACCACGAUCAGGCAGGUGGUUUUCCCAGGGCGAGGCGUGUCCAUUGCACUUGGGGCUCGCUGAACUCUGCGAUUUUUCCAAAUAGGAAAAACUCGACUGCGUAAUUUGUGUUAGUGGGGGACUGCGUGCGCGCUCUCCCCUG
ensembl:snRNA U1 U1 spliceosomal RNA